AUAACGAAAUUAAUAACUAUCGCAAUAUUUAGGGCCCUAGCGCCGGCAGCGGCAAAGGCCCUAUUGAAACUGAAGGAAUUCUUCCUUCUUUCUUU